ensembl:piRNA 21ur-961 ncRNA
UGCUAUUGGCAAAACAUCGAU